rnacentral:lncRNA from 1 species
CACGAUAAUACUAAAUAAUCAUUAAUAAUUAUCUCAUUAUUUUACAACAGUUCCCCUCUUAAAAGUGUAAGAAAAUGUCGAAAUUACCAGUAAUUAGAGUUUUGAACUUAUCAAUUAAAAAUUAAGAUUUAUAAAUUUUUUUCAAAAUAAAAAAAUAAUUAAAAUUUUAAUAAAAAAUUUAAAAAAAUAAAAAUAAAAUACAAUGGGAAACCCCGAUUCCAACCCUCAAACAGUAAAUCCUAAAUCUCUCUCCCUUCUACCUCUCUCUCUCUCUCUCUAUAUUCCAUCUUUACCCCUUUCCCAAUCUGUGCCCGCUCUAUUCUGACCGGCAGGCGCCUUACAGUAGUGUCACACGAGAAGGUGGCUCUUCUCUUGAGCGAUGUCAUGGAAGGUGGUGUGCAUAGCGAUGCCUCACACGAAGAGCGAUGAAACAGGUUUUCUAGUGGUGUGGUUGAUCAUCACAACGACGCUCUUCACUAUCCAUCAGUAGUUCACAGGUCUCGGAUCUAUCAGAUCGCCACUGAGAGUUUGGGAUUCGUCUGGCUGAAGCAGAAAAAGAGUAAGAUGCACCAAAACUAAUAAACUAUGGUAAUUUAUGUUUUGCAAUUGUUGGUGACAGUGUGAUAGUGAUGAUUUUAGCGAUGGUGGGGAGGUGAUAUUGGCUUUGGUUGUGCAAUGACUUUGAGUAGUGGUGAUGGUGCAGGAGAUGGUGGUCAUUGUUGUCGUUGU